AGCUUUGGAUGAUUAUUUAAGAGUAGUGGACAGGAGUGAUUUCUGAGAAUUGAUUACACUGAAGCU